rnacentral:rRNA from 1 species
UACAGAGGGUGCAAGCGUCAAUCGGAAUGACUGGGUGUAAAGGGCGCGUAGGCGGUAAGAUGAGUGUGAUGUGAAAGCCCCGGGCUUAACCUGGGAAGUGCAUCGCAAACUAUUUAACUAGAGUAUAUGAGAGGGUGGCGGAAUUUCCGGUGUAGCGGUGAAAUGCGUAGAGAUCGGAAGGAACGUCAAUGGCGAAGGCAGCCACCUGGCAUAAUACUGACGCUGAGGCGCGAAAGCGUGGGGAGCGAACAGG